GUGGCUAAUUCUCUCGAGACUAUCAAAAUUUUCUAUAACCUAAUAGAUGAAUUUAAAAAAUUUAUAGGCUGACAAAAAAUCAUCAAAAUUAGUACUAACUAAAGUUGUUAAACUUUCGGGAUUAUGCAUAGCUAUUGGUUGAUUGAGGCUCAAUAAACUAUGUAAACAAAUCUCUUGUUAGGGUAGGCAAGGAGGGGCAUCCUCAUAAUUAGAUUUACCUUUAUAACUUUUCAGAUUUACCUUUUAAUUAAUGAG
rnacentral:lncRNA from 1 species